GGAUGGCGCUAGCGGAUGGUGUCUUUCUUUCCUUUCAAGGCCGAUGAAUGGCUUGCAAGCAGUGGACAAAAAUAAAAGCAUCCAAAACAAGGAACACGUCGACGAUCUGACGAUCUGGGAAUCUAAUCCAUCCGGUGUUGCAAAAGCGAGUGCAUCUGAUGACUAGACCACCCGGCCGCCCGCUCGUUGUGAAGUGUAAAGCGCUGUUUUGUUCUACAUUCUGUCAUAUUAAAAGCAUCACGUUUGGCAGCACGUUGUCCAGGUUUGGAGGAGAUGUUCCGGAUCAGGACGUAAACUUCGCCCCGUCCCUUGGACAGACAGCUUCGAACCAAGCAAUUACCAUGCUCGAAGGACACGCCGGCCUGGAACGAAUGCUGG